CAAAUCAUUUUGACUGACUGUUUCACAGCACAUUCGUAUACUUUUACAGCAAAUCAUUUUGACUGACUGUUUCACAGCACAUUCGUAUACUUUUACAGCAAAUCAUUUUGACUGACUGUUUCACAGCACAUUCGUAUACUUUUACAGCAAAUCAUUUUGACUGACUGUUUCACAGCACAUUCGUAUACUUUUACAGCAAAUCAUUUUGGAUGGAACAUGUGAGAAAUCCUUUUGACCUUUGUUACAUUGACCCAUUUAAAAGAUCACUAUUAAGCAAACUUUGACUGAGAGUUUUUUAAUGAUGCAUGUGUUACGAAUCAGUGCAGCGAACGAGUGUACUUAGCGAUCCUUCACAGAGAGGAAAUGAUUAACCGUACAAUAAGGGUGUAAUUGGUGCCUUCACAAGUAUUUCCGGCGUACAAAGACUUUCCGUAUAAAUGCUUCGCAGCCCUCACAGGUACCAGUUGUCAAGUCCAGUUAUAAGGGCAUCAUUGAUGGAAUCUGAUUGGUGAUACAAGUUACAACCGAAGCAAAAUUGAGUCUAACAUAUCCUCAUGUCCCUGCAUUUUGAUCAAAGGACUGAUUAAAACCCAUCAGCCAAAUAGACUAUAGACCAGGAAUUGUCUAGCAUUUAGAAACAAUGACUGUGAGUAUGUGGAACUUAUAAGACCUGAAAUGCAUUCCACCUAAAAGAAAACGUAUGUCUUACAAUAGUAAACCGCACAUACUAGUAUCCAUAUAAGUAGAUCACUGCUGCUUCAGUGUUUUAACACUGGUGAGUUCUAAUUAUUAUGGCUAUCAGGAAUAAACAAGUAAUUUAAGUCAACGAAAAAACAAUGUAUUAACUGCUGUGUUGGUAUAUUUUAAUAUUUGAUGGAUUUUCUUACUGAAAUAAGAUACUACCAUACAAUUUAAGCCUGUAUUAAUUAAUAAUAUGCUGAGGAGUUUCAUUAAAAUUUGUAGUUUGUAGCAAGGAAUGGAUUGUGUGAAAUAUGUUUUAAGCAUUGUGCAUUGC